GAUGAACGCUGGCGGCGUGCCUAAUACAUGCAAGUCGAGCGAAUGGAUUAAGAGCUUGCUCUUAUGAAGUUAGCGGCGGACGGGUGAGUAACACGUGGGUAACCUGCCCAUAAGACUGGGAUAACUCCGGGAAACCGGGGCUAAUACCGGAUAAUAUUUUGAACCGCAUGGUUCGAAAUUGAAAGGCGGCUUCGGCUGUCACUUAUGGAUGGACCCGCGUCGCAUUAGCUAGUUGGUGAGGUAACGGCUCACCAAGGCAACGAUGCGUAGCCGAGCUGAGAGGGUGAUCGGCCACACUGGGACUGAGACACGGCCCAGACUCCUACGGGAGGCAGCAGUAGAGAAUCUUCCGCAAUGGACGAAAGUCUGACGGAGCAACGCCGCGUGAGUGAUGAAGGCUUUCGGGUCGUAAAACUCUGUUGUUAGGGAAGAACAAGUGCUAGUUGAAUAAGCUGGCACCUUGACGGUACCUAACCAGAAAGCCACGGCUAACUACGUGCCAGCCGCCGCAGUAA
rnacentral:rRNA from 1 species